GUGGGAUAGAGGAGAAUACAUUUGGUCUUGUAUCUUUUCUGGGGAUUAUUCUUCCAAAUGUAAUAUUAUUCAGAACGUGUGAAGAGUUUAAUUAUUAUGAAAAACUUGAAAGAUCAGUCAAGGGAAUCAGUUGGACUAAUAUGUUUGAAGUUGGAAUUCGCAACUAUGGAUUGCAAGGCAGUAUUGGCAUGAUGCUUGUUUUUUCCAUCAUUGGUAUAAUUUUUCAUUUUGCAAUGGCCAAUUACGUGUAUACAAUGAAUCCUGGAAAGUAUGAAAUCAAGAAAAGUCCAUUCAGCUUCAUUAAGUAUUUUAAAAAUUCGACCAAAUCUAAUGAUUACAACAAGGUUGAAAAUAUCGAAUGCUAUAGCAGCAAUAAUAAAUUGUUCGAAAGUGUUCAGAAAGAUAGUAUCCCGGAAAUUCAAGUUCGAAAAC